CGGCGGGUUUGGGAUCGUGGGCAAAGGGAGCUAGGGGUGUCAUUGGCUUGGUGGUAGGUGUCGGUGGACGAGGAAGAGUGUCGGCGGCGUGGUAAGGAGGGAAGGCGGGGGAGGAGGAAGGGCCUAGGGGUGGUGUCGUGGCUGGACGUCCGUUUCCCGCUGCUUCUCACCGUUUGCUCCUGUUGCUCCCUCUCUUUCUUCCUUCUAUUUUUCCUCCGGCUGCCGCUCCGGGUCGCUGAUCGCGGAGAGACGGAGUUCGGGGCCGUAGUGGCGGUGGUCUAGGUGGAACGUUGGAAAGAAGGAGGGGACAGACUGACGACGCACCAGCACAGUCCGGGUACAGCCGCGACGGAGGUGGCGGCGUCGGUGGCGGUAACCUACCGAGGCAGCCAGGGAGGGCGAGGUCUAGCUUUUGACUCUCUCCCUGACCUCCCUUCUUCCCCUAGCUCCCUCCCCUCUCGUGUACUCUCUUCCGUGCCCUAUAAAAGGCGGAGCCGGCUAGGUCCGUACCACAGCCUAACCUCUCUCGUCCCCUCCCGGUUCUCCGGUCGCCACACCUCACCUCAUCGCUCCGGGCUUCUGGCCCGUCGCCUACGGAGUGCCCCACCUCCUCUCCGGCCGGUAUCCCUUUUCGUCGUAGAAGUACCUACUCUAGGACUGCCGACUUCUACCAGGCGUACCCUCCUCGAAGCUUCAACAGUUCCCCGCGGUGCUCCUCACCUCCUAGUUCCAGCACCCAACGGUCGAAGUUUAAAACCCAGAAACGUUCCUCAACUUCCGACUCCAGUACCAACGGCCGAAGUUAAAAAACGAUUCGUUAAGGAGUUCUCAGAACGGUUCUAGACUCCUACUUCCCUUCUUAUUCUUAAAUUGAUUUGUCAACUUCUUCUAGUUCCUGGAUGAUACUACGUAUAAACUUUCUCACGUAGAUAAUAAAGUCGACUUUUAACUAGAGAUAAACUUCCUCACGUAGAUAACACGUAGAUGUGGUCUUCUGUCACCCAACAAAAAAUAAGGUACGAGGUUUAUAAAGUACAGGUUAAGUAUCUGUAGGAACUUAACGAAUUGCUACUACCGUACAAACCACAAGUAUAAAAACAGUCGGUUUAUUAUUAUCCACGUGAAUUGACAAACUCCCUUACGGUUGACUUUCGAUUUAAGUUAAUCUUAAUAUAAAAACGUGCACACAAGAACUACGAAGUACAUGCUGGUGUAUCAUCCCUACGUUAUUUAUAAACAAACGAUCCAACGAACGGACUACUUCGAGGGUACACCUGCUAAAUGAUGAUACACAAUAACCUUAAACAAAACUCACAAACGAGUCCGACUUCUUUAAGUACAGCAAAAGGAGGUAAAUAAAGGAAAAUACGCUAGUCUUCUACAACAUGUGUACUAACACACUACGAGUCUCUGUAAAACGUGUUGCCUUUGAAGAAGACUUCGAACUAGAAUAAGUCCACGGAUUGACUGAUGGCGAAGGAUCCGUAAACACGAAUGGUCAUACGGCCUUUGAAGAACCCUUCGAGCGGCAAAGUCCAGAUACACCUAAAGGUGUUAUUGUGAUGGAGGUUGAAAGAGUAAAGGGGUCGAGACGUAUGUUCAAGGUUUCAUCCAUACGGUUAGAACAAUAGUGAACAAGUCAACGCAAGACCAAAUACGGAAAAGUGGACGUACAUCACUCCGUUACACACCUUAAAUCCACGACCAAACUUGUUUAAUGUUACUACAUCAGGACGUCUAGUCAUGUCCAGUGGCCGAAAUAUAACACCAGUGGCACAACAUUCAUGAAACCCUUUGUUCAAGACCCCAUUCAAAUAGAUGAACGAGUACGUAAAAUUAUGAACUAACUACAGGACUAUUAAACACUUCAAGACACAUGGUACACUAUUCGACGUGUACUCCAACCUACUAUCGAACAGAACAACGAAAAUCCUACAUGUACAUGGGUCCACCUAGUUUAUGUCUAUGGUUAGUAUAUAAUAAUAAAAAUGAGCACACAAAAAGAACACGGACGGUUUGUAAAGCUUUUAACUAAUAUAGUAAGUCUACAUAAGUUCUACCGAAAGACACUAGGUUUUUUUAGUAGACCGUACCGAAAGAGAAAUGUAUGUUUUGAUUCACACCUCGUCACAUAUACAAGUAACGAAAGAAUAGUGUAGCGUAAACAGCCACCACAACAUGACUAAACUUCAUUUAAGAAAAUAUAAAGGUUCAACUAGUUGAUGUGUUGAACACUAGGAUUUCGGAAAGAAAUUUUCCCCGACCAAUUACGUCGAGGUACAACACGACGAUAACCCGAGAAAAAAACAAUGAAUUUUACCAGUCUAUAGAGACUACAAUUUAAGCACCAACUAACGAAUAUAGGUUUUAUUGAUACAAUCAUGUGACUUCGGUUAAAGACGUAACAAUCACUUCAACCGAUUUAUCAAAAACGCGGUGACUCUAUAUAUACACGUGACGUAAGAUUGGGACAUUUAACAACACGGUAAUCAAAUUAGACCUUAUAUUAAUACAAUCAUGUGAGACAUUAUAUUAAUACAAUAUAAGACGAAAACAGUCAAACGACCAGGUAUAAUUAAAGGAGCUCGAAUAAAAGUGUAGAGCAGUAUAAAUGUGGAGAGGCGGCUGACGGUGGAUAGCACCUCCCUCUACCGAACCGGUCCGGCAGUUGUGGGUAGCUGUUGAAGGCCGUCCGCGGCAGGGUAAGAAGGAGGGGAAUGAGACUACGGAAGUACCGGUUUUAGUAAUUGUCCUCGUUCUUCCAAUUCGUGGUUAAUACCAAUUUCGAAACAGAGAAAACACAUGAUACGUACUAACUAGACUAAAACAACCAGCCGAAUUUUUAAGUUCAUUAUGGUGAUAACGUUAUGUAGAAUGAUGUACACGUAAAUAAACGUAACUAUAAAAGAGGAGGAAUCCGAGGUUUAGUAAACACCCAGUAUUUAAUAACACGUAAUAACUACUAAUUAAACGUUAAAUUUACUAUCAUCCCGAUCCAAAAUCUUCACGUUACCGAACUUUACACUGGAAGGUCAGUUCUUUAAAGGAGUCAUUCUUCGAAUACACUUCUUACUACAUUAAUUCGAUCGUUAAAUGUAAAGAGAAACUAUUAAUAUUGACUUAACAGUUACCGGUCUAGAGAGCUUAUCACUCAAUGAGGGAGUUAAAAUGUUAUCUCUAUUAAACACUUUUAACACAAAAACACUACAAACACCAGAAGAGAAAAGAAAAAGAACUAAACAUAACCUAUACGAUGAGCGUAGAAACUUGUACGUAUCCCGGAGAGUCAGAAAUUGAGACUGAUAUUUUUAGGUAAUUACCUUCGACCCCUCCCGGCUCUACUUGUAGGCUGGGGGACCCAGAUUCGGUAGCUCUACCAUCUCUGCUGCAAAGGUACAGUAGAUGAGGUCGUCGGCCUGUUCCGUAUAUUCUUGGUACCUAGGAAACGAGGGGUCCGGCGUUUUACUAGUGUCACUACAGAUGCUGGAGGAGGAUCUACAUAAUUAGAGUUAGAGUACAAACCAAAAGAAGGGAAAAGAGAAGAUUACUACAUUAAAGAAAAUGUUUCUAUUGUGGUACAAACAACAUUACGGAAUAAACUACAUUCUAGGGAAAAGAUGAAACUUACUUAAAUGACGUAUAUAAAAAACAAAUCAAAUCAAGUAGUAAGUGUCUGCCACUUUA
rnacentral:rRNA from 1 species